rnacentral:rRNA from 1 species
UACGUAGGGUGCAAUCGUUAAUCGGAAUUACUGGGCGUAAAGCGUGCGCAGGCGGUUUUGUAAGACCGAUGUGAAAUCCCCGGGCUUAACCUGGGAACUGCAUUGGUGACUGCAAGGCUUGAGUGUGUCAGAGGGAGGUGGAAUUCCGCGUGUAGCAGUGAAAUGCGUAGAUAUGCGGAGGAACACCGAUGGCGAAGGCAGCCUCCUGGGAUAACACUGACGCUCAUGCACGAAAGCGUGGGGAGCAAACAGG